AUAUGCAGGUUAUAAUGACGACCCUUGUUAUAAAACAAUUGCGAGAAAUUUUAUCUGCCACAAAACCAUAUUUACGUUUCCCUUGAUCGCUUAUCUUUUUAUUCCUCUGUACAGCUGCUUUCUUUGCCUGAUAUGACUAAUGCUAAAGCACAGGGGAAAUUAUCUCAUCAAGGAUGAAACUUUGAGUCGUUCCUUAUAUGGGAUCUACAACUUCCGAUUCAAACUUAAGAAUUAAAAAUCUCUAGAUGUAGACUGAUAGAGAAAUUGAAAGCUGUUAUUUGAAUUGGAUA
rnacentral:misc_RNA from 1 species